rnacentral:lncRNA from 1 species
GCUGGGCACACUUGGCAUUUGCCUUGGUUAUGAAAUAUAACCCUGGCUGACCAGAGCUGCCUUCAGCAGCCUCUGGUGACAGGGCUUGUCCAAAAGUUCAGUUUACUUUGAAGAUGCUCUUUUUUCAGCAGAGUCUUCAUGAGAGGAAGACAGCAGCAGUGCUGUCCUUAAGCAACAAGAAAAACAGAAAACUGGAACAGACUGCUUUUCAUGUGUUGGGAUUCUCCCCAGGUAUCAUGAAUCUCUGCAUGGUAUCAAGGCUGGGAAGAUUCCAAUAUCAUCUGCCAAAUUUCUUCUGGAUGAACCUACUGCAUUUAAUUAUCAAGCUUUUGUAUCUGAAUGGAUAUGUUACCUGUGGCAUCAUUACCACUGCUCUGCUGUCUAUAGAAGAGAUUAAAUAG